UACGUAGGGUGCAAGCGUUAAUCGGAAUUACUGGGCGUAAAGCGUGCGCAGGCGGUAAUGUAAGACAGUUGUGAAAUCCCCGGGCUCAACCUGGGAACUGCAUCUGUGACUGCAUUGCUGGAGUACGGUAGAGGGGGAUGGAAUUCCGCGUGUAGCAGUGAAAUGCGUAGAUAUGCGGAGGAACACCGAUGGCGAAGGCAAUCCCCUGGACCUGUACUGACGCUCAUGCACGAAAGCGUGGGGAGCAAGCAGG
rnacentral:rRNA from 1 species